rnacentral:rRNA from 1 species
GACGAACGCUGGCGGCGUGCUUAACACAUGCAAGUCGAACGGAAAGGCCCUGCUUGUUUGGGGUGCUCGAGUGGCGAACGGGUGAGUAACCCGUGAAUAACCUGCCCUUGACUUUGGGAUAACUUCAGGAAACUGGUGCUAAUACCGGAUAGGAGCUCCUGCUGCAUGGUGGGGGUUGGAACGUUUCGGCGGAUGGGGAUGGACGCGGGGCUUAUCAGCUUGUUGGUUGGGUAGUGGCUUACCAAGGCUUUGACGGGUAGCCGGCCUGAGAGGGUGAACGGCCACAAUGGGCCUGAGAUACGGCGCAGACGCCUACGGGAGGCAGCAGGGGGGAAUAUUGCACAAUGGGCGGAAGCCUGAGGCAGCAACGCUGCGUGCGGGAUGACGGCCUUCGGGUGGUAAACCGCUUUCGCCUGUGACGAAGCGGGAGUGACGGUAAUGGGUAAAGAAGCACCGGCUAACUACGUG